rnacentral:rRNA from 1 species
UACAGAGGGUGCAAGCGUUAAUCGGAAUUAUUGGGCGUAAAGCGCAUGUAGGUGGCUAUAUAAGUUUGAUGUGAAAGCCCUGGGCUUAACCUGGGAAUUGCGUUGAAUACUGUAUAGCUUGAGUCGGACAGAGGGCGGUGGAAUUUCCGGUGUAGCGGUGAAAUGCGUAGAGAUCGGAAAGAACAUCGGUGGCGAAGGCGGCCGCCUGGGUCCAGACUGACACUGAGGUGCGAAAGCGUGGGGAGCAAACAGG